AAGACAAAAAGGUUUGGGAGCCACUGAAACAGAGUACUGCUGACCAAUUCAGAUGAGAAAAAGGUUUGGGAGCCACUGAAACAGAGUACUGCUGACCAAUUCAGAUGAGAAAAAGGUUUGGGAGCCACUGAAACAGAGUACUGCUGACCAAUUCAGAUGAGAAAAAGGUUUGGGAGCCACUGAAACAGAGUACUGCUGACCAAUUCAGAUGA